rnacentral:lncRNA from 1 species
GCUGGGUGCAGAAAAGCUCUCCAGGCAUGCUGGCUGUUGUUCUCAUCUGGUUCUCACAACAGCUCCAGCAAGAAGGAGGCAAUUCCGUGAAGGAGGCGGUGGAGGCUGGCAGAUAGGGCUUGCCAGGUCUCUCCCGAGAGCUCCCGCCGCAGCUGCAGCAAUCACGACACAGAUCAUGAUAUGAUGGAUGCAGGAGGAGUCGGAGCUGGAGGAAAAGGCGAUGUGAUGACAGAAGCAGAAAUUGGAGCGAUGCACUUUGAGAUGGAGGAAGAGGCCACAAGCCAAGGAAUGCAGGUGCCUCUAGAAUCUUCAUUGCUUUCCGGCAUUCCUUAAAUACAACACCCUCUUUCGUGUCUCUAAGCCUUUGCACCUGCUCUUCCUUCUGCCUGGAGUGCAUUCUCUUAUUCACCACCUGGACAACUCCAGUGCAUCCUUAAACGCCCAGCUCAGGUAUCAUGUCCCCAGGAAAGCAUGCUGGCUUGCUGCGGGACUACUGCCUGCAGGACAACAGGC